UGCAAUUUUAGAAUAAGUGUUUCUGACUUCAUCUUUUAGAAAGCACCAAGUAAUCUGAUUUGUGAAUGUGCUCGAAGAGCCAAGAAAUCAACGUUCAACAACUCCCAGACUGCACUUCUGAGUCAGUAGGUCUGAUUUCACUGGAAGCAUCCCUCAGUAUGGUAUGGAUUUCCUGUCUUGCUGAGGCUGUUGCACUCGUCAGGCGAAGGAACUGAGGGUAAGAACCAAGUCUCAAGGAGGGGACAUGACCAUCAAGAAUGCCGGCAGCAGAUGGUAAACCGGACGCACCUGUCUAUCUGGACUCCACCUCCCCUCUCUGAGUACUGCUGAUUUGUGUGAAGCCUGUGUUCCAAUGGUACCCAGCAUAGGAGCCACCCAGGUCACUGGCUUAGCUCUAGCCCACUAGCAAAGUCGGCUGGACUUGUUAACAGGGACCAGACUGUGCGGACCGGGUAGAGGCAGCAGUUCUGGGACUGGAACCCCCGUGGAGUCCUGCAGCUUCCAAAGGUAGAUUAUCUGGGCCCUUCUGAUCCCACCACCCAGGCUGGCCCAGUCUGUGCUGACAACACACACUGGUUUAGUCCCAUGUUGACUAGCUGGGGCUGGGAACUGCAGGGCCUGGCCAAGCCUUGGCCUGCACUGGUGAGGCCAUAUUCAUCUGCCAUCCCCAUCUGCCCAGGAGCAAUCCUUACUGUACCUACUGGAGGGCCCCCGGGGGCUGGGAGCUAUUUCAGCCGCUCCAGCCUCUCUAUAACUGCUAGGAUUCAAAGAGUAGAUUGUGCCAACGUCAACAGAAUGAGAAUGAGAACAAGACAGCCGCGUGGCUCUCUGUCAGGGAGAAUGCCCAAUUAGGAGGGUAGCUGUGGGGGCAGGGAAUGCUGGGUCUAUGACACAGGGAGUUCUUGGGUCUAGGAAGGUUCCACACAGCUUGGGUUUCACAGCACUGCACAGUGAUGACAGUGAGGAGUGACCCAGGAGGUCCACCUGCAGGCAUGCUGGACAUACACAGUGUGCCACCCAGCAACAUCCAAGCCACCAGAAGCAUGCACUGGAAGUCAGGCCUUACCUCGGGUUCUGAGAAGUACGUGUUUAGUGAGUGUAAGUGGAGAUCCACAAGCGCAGAUUCUGAAGGCUCUGCCACAGUCCAGGUAACCCUGAGUUCUAAGACACAAGGUCACCACAUAGAGAUUUGGGGUUGCGUGCUGCAUAUGAUGUGCUAGGUGAGGCCUGGGGACCCCAGUUAUAG
rnacentral:lncRNA from 1 species